rnacentral:lncRNA from 1 species
UGAUAGAACUCAACAGAGUUGAAACCUAGACUCUGAUUGAGAAGUCCAAUUAAGAUGCCAUUGAGCACUCCAAAUCCCAUGACGGUCCUUGCGAGGUUUGUGCUUAAAGGGCUUCAUACAUAAUGCCACAUGAAGUCAAUAGAAUAGAACAAAGAUGCCAGCUUGUCAACAUGGUUGCUGCACAAUAAAGAAUAAAGGUGUUCUUAUUUGUAGGGAUAACAUUUCUGCCAAGUUAUACAUGACUUUCAAAGAUCAGUAAACUGAAUCCGAAAUUUACAUGCUGUAGAGGAAAAAAAUGGCAGGCAUAAUAUGAGACACAAAAUUAUACUACAAACAGGGGAUAUGCAAACGUCAAUGAUCUGAACAGAAGCUCUAAAUAAAUAAAGAAACAUCAAUUCAUAAGAAUUGAAACUCACUGCCUCCAGUUCCAUAGACCAAUACUCUGUUUUAUGUGAGUACAGUCUUCUAACACGUGAAAAAUUGCAAGGCUCGACCAAAUUCAGAGACAUAUUUAUCAGCAACGCAAGGUUCACCAACCACACAAAGUUAACUGAGAGUUCCAUAAUGUUCAGGGACGUUCACUUUCUAAGCUGUUUGUUCAUGGCAACAAAAAUAACACCGAAGAGAGUUCCUGUUGGAUGAAAGGGCAUGAAGCUAGGGUUGCAUUCUCUGUAAGAUCGGAAAUAAUUGAACACAUAAAAUUUAUCAAUGCCAAACAGCACCAAACUAUAGAGUAACACAAAUGCAAAUCAGAUCAGGAUUUAAGCAUACCUGUGGAUGGGACGAUUCAGCACCAUCAAGCGUCUCGGGGUAUGGAGGAGCAACUUGAUAAAGACACAUCAUAACAGAUGCAAACCCACACAAAAAGCCAAUGAGGGUCAAAGUUCUUUUUAGGUUCGCCAGUUCCGACUGGUAGAUUUCAGAUCUGUCAUUAAAAAAAUGUUAUUACAGACAGGUACAUGAGCAUGGAAAGCCAAAUAAGCAGCACUUAUGAGUAGACCUAGGAUGUAUCUAUAUGUCUGCAGAAGUGCAUAAUGAUGAAAGUAUACAUAAUCUGGUGCUUAAGCAAUUUCUGAACAAGCUACAGGGGUGGCUUGCCAUUGGAUGUCUAAACAUAGCCUGGUGCUUUCAAACAUGCAAACCAACUUCUAAACACGCUACAGGGACUGUAAACCUUCCUUUUUACAGUUCAGACAAAUAUGUCUGGUGCUUAAGAAACUUCUGAACAAGCUACAGGGGUGGCUUGAAUUCAAUGGCUAAACAUAGCUUGGUGCUUCCAAAUAUGCAGACCAACUUCUAAACAAGCUACAGAGGCUGUAAACCUUCAUUUUUAGAGUUCAGAUAAAUAACAUCAUGUAUAAGCCUUACCAGUCAAAACUAAGUUACCAACUGAAUAUAAAUUCGCAUUAGAUUAAUUGCUUUAAAUAUAGGAGGUUUUCUCUGUGGUAAUGUAUGUGAAGCUCUAUACUGUUAGUGCAAGAGGUAUACCUCACAGUAGCCUCAAGCAAUUUCUGUUUCUCACAGUUACUCUGCAUGGAAAACUUCAGCUCACCGACCUGUAUACAAAUAAAGUAAUUCAGCUCACCGCUACGUGGAUGGAAAAGACUAAGAACCAUGCUCAGGUAGCCUGCCAAUCACCUCUUAGAUAUGCUGGUUUAUUGUGUGUCUGGAUGGGGAGACAAAUGGUGGAGCACAAGACAGGAGAAAGGCGAAAGCAAGAUACUGGCGCAGAUGGUGAUGAAGACAUGCUUCCAAAACAGAAGUUGGGGGCUAUGGGUGGGGGAGAUGGAGCUCUUACCACGCACGUCAAUGAUGUCUGCCUUCCUUAUUUGUGGCAUCCGCGAUGCAGGGGACCAUCUCAAGAUCAAGUGAUGGGCUGCUAGCACAUGGCGACACCAACUCCAGACCAAGCACAUUGCUGCCUUCCACAAAUUCAAGACCGUAGCAGUGUGGCAGUAUUCCUAGUAACAACAUGGCUACAACAUAUCUUGGUUAUCAUAAUCUCUUCUCAAAUAUAUAAAGAAUCAAAAUAAAAGCUACAUAUUAUGAAAGCACUUCAGUUUAAUGUUUUUGACAUGGUUCUGCAGAAAACACCAAAACCAAAGCUAAUGUCGAAGCAGAAAAUAUCACCUACUUAAGAUUACAAUCUGGAUGAACCAAUCUGUACCUUCUUUUUGUUCAUUCUUGAUGCACAUGUCAAAAGAAGGGAUCUUAGUUAUCUUUCUUCCAGUGAAAACCUGAAAAUAGAGAUGCAUUAUGUUAAUUCUCUUUGCAAAAGAAUAGCACCACUUCUCCACUCAACCCAAUUUCCUUCAGAUUCAAUAUAAGCUAAGAUGAGUGAUUGCUGCUAGCAAAGGAAAUGCAAAUUGUUCAUCGAGAAUCCAAGUAGCAGAAAGGUAUCACGAGAGGGAGAUGGGCAGUCUGUGAGUAGUAUAAAGCAAUCUAUUUUUCUUGAAGAUUGAUUUAAAACUGAACAAAGAAAUAAGUAAAAGGAUAAUCUAACAAUGUAAUGCUCCUAGAUGACUCAACAAAGAACAAUUUACGGAUAUAUAAAUAUUAUAAUUACGAUGAAUACAACUCUACCUUCUUCUUCUGCCAACGUCAUAUUCCCUCCUCCAACUAUCACCUCUUCAUCUCAAAGCAGGCAGAUGAGCUCCUCCUAGACCAGCGGCAAGGCUUCCUCUCCUCUCCUCUUCCCUUCCCGUCGCCUGACCCGCUCGCUCUCCCUCGUCUCUUACCUUCCCUUCCCUUCUGAAAACGGGAGGGGGGAGGUUGCGGGCGGAGGCUGGCCGGAGGAGACGGGCGCGAGUGGCGGCGGCUGGCCGGGUGGAGGAGGUGCGGCGACGGCUGGCUGGGUGGAGGGGACGACGGCGCCUCCUUCUCCUCUUUCCUCUCUCUCUCUCUUUCUCCCUCCUCUCCUUCCAUCUUCUCCCUCUCAUCUUCUCUCUCUCCCGCAGAUCGAAUCGUGCGCCGCAGCUCACUCCGAAGGUGUCGUCCUCGGCCGCGAGGAGGAGGAUGCAGGGGAGCCCGUCCUGCGCAAACCCGGAGCAGGCGUUGGAAAUCAGGUUCGCCCGUGAAGCGCGUGGCCACGAUGGCCUGCACGCGAGCGAUGGGAAGGCAGGGAGGAGGAAGAGGCGAGGCGGUGGAGGAGUAGCCGGCGGCGGCGAGGCUCCUACGGCGUAGAAGGAGGAGGAGGAGGAGGAGGGAGGGAGUGGCGGCGGAUGAGGGAGGGGCGUGGGGCUGGGUU